UAAUGGUGAUGAGUUCAAUUCCUGAGCAUAGCCUUGAAUCUUUCCCAAGCUUAUAAAGAUUCUAUCUAUCUUUCUGCUCAAAACUUAGAAUCUCACUUCUCAAACG
rfam:Capsicum annuum cultivar Zunla-1 chromosome 1, whole genome shotgun sequence